AUUGAACGCUGGCGGCAGGCCUAACACAUGCAAGUCGAACGAGUGGCGGACGGGUGAGUAAUGUCUGGGAAACUGCCCGAUGGAGGGGGAUAACUACUGGAAACGGUAGCUAAUACCGCAUACCAUCGGAUGUGCCCAGAUGGGAUUAGCUAGUAGGUGGGGUAACGGCUCACCUAGGCGACGGUCCCUAGCUGGUCUGAGAGGAUGACAGGCCACACGGGAGCUGAGACACGGUCCGGACUCGUACGGUAGGAAGCAGUGGGGAAUAUUGCAAAAGUGGCGAAAGCCUGAUGCAGCCAUGCCGAGUGGAUGAAGAAGGCCUUCGGGUUGUAAAGUACUUUCAGCGAGGAGGCGUUACUAGCAGAAGAAGCACCGGCUAACUCCGUGCCAGCAGCCGCGGUAAUAC
rnacentral:rRNA from 1 species